CUGUAUAUAAAAUGACUCCACCACAGCUCUGACUUCCUGUAGCUGUUAAACAACCAAAGAAAUCUUCUUAUGGCCUCUCACGUCGCGAUGAGACACAUAGUCAAUAGUGCGCCAACAACCCUCUCUGGGACACGCCCCCCUCCCACUGGGGUUUACAUACGUGGGGCUCUCCACCAUUUGGUCUUAAAACUGAAGAAGGUUCUGGGAUGAAGCGUCUUCACAAACUCGAAGAAGUCCAGUUGGCUCCGGGAGUAUCCUGUGUAACUGCGAGAGAUCAGCUCAAAGGGAAACCCUUCUCCAAGAAAACAAGCUCGACUAUGUCACAGGUGAAACUCCACCAUGCACAUGUGGCACAUGUGGCAGGGAUCCAUGUUCAUAAAGCCCAGCGACACUCGAACCACUUGCUGAACCUGCGAGGCUUCAGACGUCAUCGAUGACGACACAUUAGGUGAUCAGCUGUGAAAACACCUGGAUCACUGCUGUCACUGCCUUUGUGUUGUGUUUGGAGUGAGUUUCUGGGUGCUGAGGUUUGGAAACUGUUCCCAAACUCUUCUCUGUGUGACACCCCCCCCAGUUUAAAACCCUGAUGCUCACUAACCAUGAGUUACAACAGUAGAUCAACCUAACGAUGCCAGCAGGUUUGCUGUGGCACGGUCACAGCAAACCUGCCAGGUUGGAGCACAGACUUACAUCCAUUGUUCUGAAUUACUAAGUCCUCCAUAAAUAAUCACCAAGGAAACUAUAAACAACAUCAUGUCACAGUCAGGCAGGAUUUCUUUAGUAAAUUUGCUGCAUUCCAGCUGUUUUAGAGACAAGGUGAUCAAGCUAGCUCAACAAGCAGGUGAAGAACAGUCUGCCUCUCAAACAACGACUGGUGGUGACAACGAGGAAGAAAGUAAUCAACCAAGUGAGGAGAGUGAUGUUGAUGACACAAAAAAAGAUGAAGACUAUGUGCCCCCAGCUGACUGGCGUGAUAGUGAUGAUGGUAAUGGUGCUGCUAAAAGGAAAUUUAACGAGCAGAAGAAUGCAGGAGAUGCUGGAAGCUGGGUGCUGAUCAAUUGUCGCUCGAUUAACAAUAAAGAGGAAAAAUUGAAGGGUUUAUUAAAGAAAAACAAAGAUGUAUUAAUUAUAACAGAGACGUGGAUAAAAAAUGAAAAGGAGAAGCACAAGGAUGAGGUCCAUCGAGACAUGUCAGAAUCAGAAUCAGAAAGGGUUUUAUUGCCAAAUGUUGAGCAGGUUUACAACAUUAGGGAAUUGCUGCAGUGCUUCAGUGCAAACAUGUCAAUCGAAAAGUACGCACUUUUUCAGUUUCCGAGGGAAGAGAAAACAGGAGGUGGCGUCGCGAUUUUAUUCUUAAAUACCCUUUACAAGGGUAAACAAAUUAAUCUGAUCUCAGCCAAACACUUUGAAUAUGUGGCUGUAGAGCUGGAGCAAACUGGUUACCAACCUGUCCUGGUCAUCGGUGUGUAUCGCCCUCCGAAGACGAAAUUCAAAGAUUUCCAGCCGGAGUUUGAAAGCCUCUUGCAGGACGUUUCUGCAAAAUGCAAAGACUGCAUCAUUUUGGCUGGAGAUUUUAAUAUCUGGUUUGAUGAAAACUUGGAGGACAAAUACAAAAAAUACAAAACAGAAUUUUCAUCUUUAUUGAACAAAUACAGUCUUACGCAACAUGUAAAAAGCCCAACACAUGAAAAAGGUCACAUUUUGGAUCUGGUCAUCAGCAGAAAUGUUGAAGUCUCUGGUCUGAGUGUUCGUAAUGACGACAUAGCAGAUCAUUGCAGUAUAUACUUCAAUGCCACACCAAAGCCCAAACACAGGAAACAAUCUGAAGCAGAGGAGAAUGAAGAUGAAGAUGAGCCCACAAAACGACUGAAAAUUAGGGAAGAGUAGAAAACUUGAUGCACCUAUUUGUCCUUUAAAAGCUGAAAUAUGUUGGACUCGUGGACGCCCGAGCGUUCACCUUUCAGGAUUCAUCAUCAUACACACAUAACACAUCAGGGGGCUGAAUAAUUACGCACACCCCACUUUUCAGUUAUUUAUUUGUUAAAAAUGUUCGGAAUCAUGUCUGAUUUUCGUUCCACUUCUCACAGAUUUGGAGAAGGGUGGCAGAUGUAACUGGCAGAUAAUGUUAAAAACAAUUCUACCAACUGUUCACCAUAAUUCAAUAACCCCGUAAAACUAAUAACUGAAUGUGCUUUUAACUCUUCUUAGAAUGAGAUUUUAACCACUACGGUGCAAAGUUUGUAGAUACUGUGUUGAUAAAGUACAAGAGAUACAAUCAGUCAGUGUUUACUCAGCAGUCAAGGACAUCAAUAUUUGCAUAGUAUUUUUACUGACAUGUUUUGGGAAAAAACAUUUUUGAAUAUUAAAAUACGAACAUUUGUAACAAACAAUUGACAAAUUAGCCAAUGCAAAACUUUAUCUGCCUGUUAAAAAAAGAAGAUAAUCUUCUCACAAACUGGUGUUUGAUUUUGAAACAGGAAAAAAGUGGAGAAACAAAUGAAAAGACUAACAUUUGAAUAAAACCUGAAAGCAAGUAAAUACUUUCUGUGCUGCCUUAUGGUAAACUUUGGUAAUAUUGAUAAAGAACAACACUGGCUGAUGAUGAAAUACAGUCAGCUGGCAUGGUGACACUGCCAGUAUUAACCUGCAGGGCUGGACUGGGACAGAAAAAUUGGCCUUUUGACUAAAGACCGCCCCCCAGGUAUUAAAACCAUAAAGCCUUUGAAUGAAAACAAACCCUGUUGUGACAGUGAUGUACAGUCUUGUUGGUAUAUGUAUGAUUUCUACACAUUCUUUCCCAGUUAAAUUUACCCUUCAUUCUAAUUUGUGUUGUACAGUUAUUUCAUUUUUAACUUUAAUUUUUAUAUUUUAUUUUCUUCCUUCCUAGUUAAAUUUACCCUUUUUAAUUUUCAUAUUUAUUUCCUAUCUUACUCAUAGCCUUUUCUUUUUUCUUUAGGUCACGAGCAGUUGUCUAAGCAUUUCACUGCAUAUCGUACUAUGUAUGACUGUGUACGUGACAAAUAAAAUUUGAAUUUGAUUUGAUUUGAUUUUUACCUCAGAUAAAAACUUUGUUUGCAAGAUUCAGAUAAUUAUUUAAUAAAAGCUAGUGUCAUGAAAUCAAUAUCCUUAGUAUCCUUCUUUUCCUAUUAUAUUGUUUUAUGUACUUUAAUAAUGAAGGCUUGUAGAGCAAGGCCACUUUUGACUCACAAAGUGCUCAGCCAGACUAAAAAACAGGAAGUUUUAGUGCACAGGCAUAUUAAUAGAUAAGACACAGAAAAGAGGAACUUUGCCAUAUAAGCAAUGUUUGAAACUGUGUGACGUGCAAAGUACAGAAAUAAUACCAUAUAAGACACAUGUGGAGCUAAAAAUGUUAGAGCUGCAACUGGCGUUUGAGCUGUGC
ensembl:lncRNA